rnacentral:rRNA from 1 species
GACGAACGCUGGCGGCGUGCUUAACACAUGCAAGUCGAACGGUAAGGCCCUUCGGGGUACACGAGUGGCGAACGGGUGAGUAACACGUGGGUGAUCUGCCCUGCACUUCGGGAUAAGCCUGGGAAACUGGGUCUAAUACCGGAUAGGACCACUGCCUGCAUGGGUGGGGGUGGAAAGCUUUUGCGGUGUGGGAUGGGCCCGCGGCCUAGCAGCCUGGUGGUGGGGUGAUGGCCUACCAAGGCGACGACGGGUAGCCGGCCUGAGAGGGUGACCGGCCACACUGGGACUGGGGUGCGGCCCAGACUCCUACGGGAGGCAGCAGUGAGGAAGAUUCCACAAUGGGGGAAACCCUGAUGGAGCGAUGCCGCGUGCAGGAAGACGCUUUUCGGAGUGUAAACUGCUUUUAAUAGGGAAGAUUAUGACGGUACCUAUAGAAUAAGGACCGGCUAACUACGUGCCAGCAGCCGCAGUAA